CAGCAGCCGCGGGAACACGGAGGGUGCAAGCGUUAUCCGGAUUUAUUGGGUUUAAAGGGUCCGUAGGCGGAUCUGUAAGUCAGUGGUGAAAUCUCACAGCUUAACUGUGAAACUGCCAUUGAUACUGCAGGUCUUGAGUAAAUUUGAAGUGGCUGGAAUAAGUAGUGUAGCGGUGAAAUGCAUAGAUAUUACUUAGAACACCAAUUGCGAAGGCAGGUCACUAAGAUUUAACUGACGCUGAUGGACGAAAGCGUGGGGAGCGAACAGGAUUAGAUACCCCCGUAGUCCCUGUCUCUUAUAA
rnacentral:rRNA from 1 species